rnacentral:tRNA from 1 species
GAGGGGGCCACCGCGGUUCCCGGGCCGACGCCCGCACCGUCGGCCUCGCGCGGUGUCCCGGACGGCGCCGGCCGUGCGACGGCCGCCGCCUCG